rnacentral:tRNA from 1 species
GGACUGAGACUGCCGGAGCGGCUGAACGGACCGGUCUCGAAAACCGGAGUAGGGGCAACUCUACCGGGGGUUCAAAUUCCCCCUCUCUCCGCCA